rnacentral:lncRNA from 1 species
CUCUUAAAGAGGUAGAGCCGAUAGCAUCAAAGCCUGAACCUUUCAAUGUAUGUUUCGUUAAAAAUGUUGUAAACAUGCAGGCAAACAGAACUAAAUUCCUGAUACUAAGUGGCUUUGACAUUUUUUAAACAGAAAUUCAAAGUAACCGAGGAAGCAUAAAAAAUAAAUUUGCAAGACUCAAAGACACAGAACCCAAACCUCAGAGAUCCAUCUAAACCUUGGAAGCCUGAGGAAAAUGAGUUUGCCAGAGGAGGUGGGGUCUCCAAAGCCUGACUGCUCACCCAAGCAAGAAGCUGGCCAAGGUCGUGCCCUUUAAGAAGCCUGCCUGACCAAUUCAUACAUUCUAAAUGACAUACAAGGAACAGCCAACUGAGAACAGCUGGGAAAGGAGGAGCUAUCAGUGUGAGGAAACAGAGGACUGUUUCAGUCAUGUUAAAAGGAGCAGAAAAAGAAGCACAGAGAAGCUCAGUACUGAAGACCCUCUUAGGAUAAGGCAACUUGGCUUUAAUCGUUCAGAAACUGAACAAGCAGGUGGAGUUGCCACAGGAUUUUGCUUUAGAAAUGGGUUCCCUGUGAUGUGUAGAAUGGACCAGAGAGAAGCAUCAGUGGCUGUUGAAGAUAAGGCCUAUGAUGCCAAGAGAUGAACCAACCUGGAGUCUGCUUGGUGAUGCCAGAGGUCCCUAUUGAGUCUAGCCAAUGAGGGGCGACCACGUAAUGUCAAUGGAUCAGAAUGCCUG